rnacentral:lncRNA from 1 species
GCAUGGAGGUCUCAUCACACACAGGCAGACGUGCGUGACAGGACACUGCUACAAGCAACACUGGGGCUUGGGGUCAAAGCUGAGGCCACUGUGUGAGUUCCCAUGGGCUGGGACCGGCCGCCUUAGGCUGACCACUGUAGGUGACAGCCUGUUUUUCUCUUCUCCUGUGGCCACGCCUGUGAUCCUGGGAGGGGCUGGCUAGAGGAAGGAAGCAGCAGGUACCUUUCUGGGAUUCGUGCUUCUCUGUCUUGCCUUGAUACUCAAAGCCCACAGCACUUUUAUCCACCUUGUCCUUGUCAAUCCCAUAUUUGCCACCAAAACCUUUGGAGUAAUCUGAAACAACAACAGCACUGUAGGAAAAACUAGCAACGGGUGGGUUAGAAGGCUGGGGGGAGGAGGGGAGAGCGGGGUGGGGGAGGGGCUGCCACAAAAUUUGAAGGUCAGAGUUCAAUCCCUGGGACCCACAUGGUACACGGUAUAAGGAGAAAACCAACUCCUAUAAGCAGUCCUCUGACUGUCACACAUGUGCACAGACAUACGCAUGUACAAAAUAAACAUUAAAAAGGUAAGCCAGCAACAGGUCAAAAUGACAUGUUAUAUGGUCUUUAAGAGUUGUGAGCUGUCAAGAUAGCUCAGCAGGCAAAGGCAAUUGUCCCUAAGCUAGAUGACCUGAGCACAAUCCCUGGGACUGACACGGUGGGAAGAGAGAGCCCAAGUGCGGUGGCUCAUGCCUAUCUCCCAGCACUCAGGAGGCCAAAGCAGGAGGAUUGCUGAGGAUCUGAAGCCAACAAAGCCAAUACACACUGAGUUCAAAGCUAUAAAGUGAGACCUUGGCUGAAAAAAAACAAAUAAACAAAAACAAAAUGAAACAUAGAAACAAACAAAAAGAAAAACAGAAAAGGGCCAGAGAGAGACAGCUUGGCAGUUAACAGAAAGGGCCAGAGCUGGCUCGGCAGUAAGAGCACUGACGCUCUUGCAGAGGACCAGAGUUCAGUCCCCAGUACCCACAUGGUGGCUCACAACCAUCUGCAAUGGGAUCUGAUAACCUCUUCUGGCAUUCGGGUGUUGUGUAGACAGAGCAUCAUAUAAAUAAGUAAAUCUAAAAGGGGGGUGGGGGUGGGGAAUACAAGGGCUUCUUUUUCAUGCAAGCUCUUGAUUUUCAAAUACUGGUAAACACUAAACAGAAAUAACUCAUGUGGGCACAAAAAACAAACAGCACCAGGAAGACCAAUGUGCAGCGGUAUCUGUAAACAUGUGCCUGCUCUUUAUACAGCAGGGAAGGAGAAAAAGCCAGGAUGGCCUAGCAGGGCCUUUUGAGUAUGUGGUGCUCAAAUCCAGAUCCUGUGCUCUGCCACUGAGCUAUAUACACUCCCAGUCCCUGCCCCCAAGACAAUCAGGACUACCCAGUGAAACCCAGUCUUUAAAAAUAAGAAAAGAAGGGAUUGGGAGGGAGGGGGCAUGGAGACUUCAAGAUGGCUCAGCAUGUCUAAGUUCAAGGUAAAGCACUUGUAAGGCAGAGGCAGGAGGAUCUCCGUGAGUUCCAGACCAGCCAAGUCUACAUAGCAAGUUCCAGGACAGCCUGCUACACAAUAGAGAUCCUGUCUCAAACAACAAAACACAAAAAGGUGUUUACUACACAAGCCUGCCGAUAUCCAAUCAAUCCCUAAAACCCACAACAGGUAGAAGAUGUGACUCCACGAAGUUGUCCUCUGGCAUUCACACAUGGCAUGCAUGUCCCCAACACACACUCACACCUGGGCUGGGCAGGAAGAUGGGGUCAAGUGUGAAGCCUUAUAUGGUGAACUCCUGGACUACAAAAUGAGACCCUGUCUCAAAACACAGGCACAAGAGCAGUGGCUCUUGGCCUUCCUAAGGCCGUGACCUUAAUAUAGUUCCUCAUGUUGUGGUGACCUCAACUAUAAAGUUAUUUUUGUUGCUACUUCAUAACUACUGUUUUGCUACUGUUUAGAAUUGUAAUGUACAUAUCUGAUAUGCAGAAUACCUGCUGAGACUCCCAUGAAAAAGUCAUUCGACCCCAAAGGGGUCACAACCCACAGGUUGAAAACUGAUGCACUAGAGUUCAGUGGUUAAGGGGACCUUUUUAGGCUCCUACCACCCACAUAGCCACUCAUAACCACCUAUAAAUGUAGCUUCUCUUCUGGCUUCCACACAAAGCACAUACAUACAUGUACACAAAGCACCCACACACACCCAUACACAUCAAAUAAAAAUAAAUAAGUCUAAGAAAAGUUGAGGUAUGAAAAGAUUAGAAGAAACACAGGAACAAAAAACAGACAGACAGACAAAAAAAGAGCGCACUCAUCCACAAGGAGCCCAAGGCCCGCCGAACCUUUCUGAGACUCAUGCUUCUCCGUCUUGCCCUGGUAGUCAAAGCCCACGGCACUCUUGUCUACACGGUCAGCUUGCACACCGUAUUUGCCACCGAAGCCACUAGAGUAGUCUAAGGAGACAAGACAGCAGUCAGCAUGAGUUAAGACUCCCAAGAGACAUACUGUGUUCAUUUGGAACACAAGGGUUGCAUUCUUUAGGAUGACCUUGGACACCUCUGUUGGGGAACCUUGUUAUUAAGGUAGCAGUCCUCCAUGACUGGGUGGUUUUCUGAGCAUAAAAUGGGGGACUCCCUUUCUCACUGGGGCUCCCCUGUCUGCCUGUCUCUGCCUGAGAGUGUCCCUGAGCACAGGUGGCUGGCUCUGGCUGGCCAUGUCUGAAAAGUGACCUUGUUCAGAGCUUUGUGCAAGGCUGCAUAACUCAGCCCAGAAGUCCCACUCCGGCUUCCCACUGCAUGACAAUCAGGUGCUGUGCUAUAACCAAGCGGCCCUUCCUGCUCGCUUGAUGCCAUGACCAACCAUCCACUGUGCCCUAAAGAUGCUCUUACAUACCCUAUCCCUAAAACAAUAGCCUCGUCUCGCUGAAGCAGUCUACAGAGGUCAUCCCAGACACACUCAUGGCUGAACCCUGCUCUUUGCCACCUCAGCUCCCCUUCUCCCUUCAGGCUGGUGGCCAAGAACCUCCAAGGAGAAAGGGGAGAGGGGCACAACCCACAAACUGUGCAGACAGAGUUCAGCUCACACCCCACCAUUGCAGGAGACUGUUUUGUAUUGAGAGAAUGAACUGGCCAGAGCAGUUCCCACUGGGAACGCUCAGCCGGGUCUACGGUGUGCAAUCCUGCUUCAAGAAACCAAAGUAGGGGGGCUGCUGAGACGGCAGCAUGGGUGAAAGAGCCUGCCACCGAGCCUGAAGAGCUCAUCCCCAGAAUCCAUGUGUCAGAAGGAGAGGAAAGACCUCCGUGAACUUCUCUCUACCCCUGGUCUCUGCACAUACAAAGUGAAUAAAAAUGUUUAAAUAAAAUAAAUAGUGGGGAGGGGUACAAAGAAAUAAAGGUGUCUGCCCACUUGAAAAAUCUCACUGGCCACAGCCAGGCAUGGCUGCACCCAGCUGCGGUCCCAGUACACAGGAGACUAAAGCAGAAGAUUGCCAGGAGUGGGAAGCCAGCCUGGGCUUCAAAAUAAAGCCUAAGCCAGCCUAGGCUACAGAAUGAGUCCCUGUCUCAAAAAUAAACAAAAAUGACAGUCAGGUGAAGUGUCACAUGCCUGCAAUCCCAGCACUCAUGAGUCUGAGGCAGGAGAACUGUUCAGUUCAAUUGUUCAGUAUCAAUGGCAUGAUAGCAUGAUAUCAUCUUAAAAGAAACAAACCAAACCAAACCACUGGGUACUGUAAAGAAACAAUUUGCCUUUGCAGUUUAAAAGC